AGUGUAGGCGGUCAAGCAAGUCAGGGGUGAAAGGCAUCGGCUCAACCGAUGUAAGCCUUUGAAACUGUUUGACCUGAGUGCAGGAGAGGUAAGUGGAAUUCCUAGUGUAGCGGUGAAAUGCGUAGAUAUUAGGAGGAACACCAGUGGCGAAGGCGACUUACUGGACUGUAACUGACGCUGAGGCUCGAAAGCGUGGGGAGCGAACA
rnacentral:rRNA from 1 species